rnacentral:rRNA from 1 species
UGGGAAUUUUGGACAAUGGGCGCAAGCCUGAUCCAGCCAUGCCGCGUGCGGGAAGAAGGCCUUCGGGUUGUAAACCGCUUUUGUCAGGGAAGAAAUCUUCUGAGUUAAUACCUCGGGAGGAUGACGGUACCUGAAGAAUAAGCACCGGCUAACUACGUGCCAGCAGCCGCGGUAAUACGUAGGGUGCAAGCGUUAAUCGGAAUUACUGGGCGUAAAGCGUGCGCAGGCGGUUUUGUAAGACAGAGGUGAAAUCCCCGGGCUCAACCUGGGAACUGCCUUUGUGACUGCAAGGCUUGAGUGCGGCAGAGGGGGAUGGAAUUCCGCGUGUAGCAGUGAAAUGCGUAGAUAUGCGGAGGAACACCGAUGGCGAAGGCAAUCCCCUGGGCCUGCACUGACGCUCAUGCACGAAAGCGUGGGGAGCAAACAGGAUUAGAUAGCCCUGGUAGUCCACGCCCUAAAACGAUGUCAACUGGUUGUUGGGAAGGUUCCUUCUCAGUAACGUAGCUAACGCGUGAAGUUGACCGCCUGAGGAGUACGGCCGC